GGGGCAGGUAGGAGCCCCAUAAAGGCUGCCUGGAUGAGGCUGUUGGUCUCGUCAAGGUCUAGUCUCAGGCUUGCAACAACUUUGGGGAAGUCCACAAAAAAGAAAUGGAAAACUUUGGAAGAACAGCACCUUUGAUAAAACACAUAGAGAGAAAAAGGAGCCAGGAGUAUACAGAAGAAACAUCAAGGGUAUCUUCUGAGGACGAAUCCCUUGCCUGGCACUCCCCAUGGAGAUCAUCAUCCUCCUCACCCGCCACAAGCACUGCCAACAUUGCUUUUCCAGUGGCUGCCACCACCGCUGCCACCACCGCUGCUUCACUACAAGAAUAUGCUGCAACUACUGAUUCACCAAAGGGUGCUGGGGCCGCAGCCGCCGCAGCCGCCGCAGCCGCCGAC